ACGUGCCCCAGGCCGGCUUAAAGAGGGCUCGAUUGUCCCACUUUACUGCUAAAUCCGCCUUCCAGGGGUUAUUUCAUACCCCUUUGCCGUAUGUUCUAAUUUAGAAAAUGUAGCCCAUUGCUACCAUUCCAUAGGCUAUACCUUGACCUGUCUUAUUAGCGUGGUGGGGCUAUUGCGCUCACUGUUGGGCUUUCAGGGGAGGUGGGCUGGCGACGGCGGUAUGUAGGCUGAAUUGGCAAGGAAUGGUCAGGUAUAUCGUGGAUCAUCGAUUACAGAACAGGCUCCUCUAGGUGGGUUUGGGGCACCGCCAAGUCCUUAGAGUUUUAAGCGUUGGUGCUCGUAGUUCUCGGGCGGAUGCUUUAGUAGGUGUAAGCAUCAAGAUUUAGGGCCAGGC
rnacentral:rRNA from 1 species